rnacentral:rRNA from 1 species
AUUGAACGCUGGCGGCAGGCCUAACACAUGCAAGUCGAACGAGUGGCGGACGGGUGAGUAAUGUCUGGGCAACUGCCCGAUGGAGGGGGAUAACUACUGGAAACGGUAUCUAAUACCGCAUACCAUCGGAUGUGCCCAGCUGGGAUUAGCUAGUGGGUGGGGUAACGGCUCACCUAGGCGACGAUCCCUAGCUGGUCGGAGAGGAUGACCGGCCACACGGGACCGGAGAAACGGUCCAGAAUCCUACGGGAGGCAGAAGGGGGGAAUAUUGGACAAGGGGCGAAAGCCUGAUGCAGACAGGCCGCGUGGAGGAAGAAGGCCUUCGGUUGGUAAAGUACGUUCAGCGAGGAGGCGUUACUCGAAGAAGAAGCACCGGCUAACUCCGUGCCAGCAGCCGCGGUAAUAC